UGUUGCUUUUCGAUGAUUCCAAGGUUUUGUUGAUGAGGGCAUGCACGGUGUUGCAUUAAGAUGAUGUUCUCGGUGAUAUUAAUUUUACAAAGUAAUGUUAGGUGUAAUGAUUUUAACAAAGUACAUUGGGUUGGUGUUAACGGUGUAGGUAAUUAUACAGUAUAAUAUUUAGUUUAAAAGUGUAUUCGUGUGCGUGAGUUUUACAAGGAAAUUAAUAAUAAAAUGUCAAUUAUACAAUGUAAGGGUUAGAAAGUGUAAUGUGUAUGUUUUAAUGUUUACGUUUUACAGGUAUUCUAAGAUUAAAGUGAUAUGUUUGUUUGAGAUUAGUUUGUAUGAAAAUUAUCACAGAAAAAAAGCAACAGAAGGUUGCUCCAGAGAGUAGGAACAACAGAAGGCUGCUCCUCAAAGUGACUUCCGAUAGCACCGAGUUGCCUGAAUUGAUCCCAUGUGCUUUGAUUCAAAACUCCAAAUUGGCCUCAUCAAUAUAUUUCGCCAAUUCUCUAAAGAAAAGAGGCUCUUUUGUGAGUAAUAACUCCUUGAUGUUAUUAAAUCGCUUGAAAAUCUUGUACUUUUUUCUAAUACUGGCAUGUCUCUGGCAGUAGAAAAUUUCGUGUUCCGCAUCAUUGAGAACACUGCAAACUUCACAGAUGUUGGUAUUUCUGGCUUUGAUCCUAUGUAAAAAGACGUGAUCAUAGUCGAUCUGGACUCUAAUCUUAACUGUUCUAAUUACUUCAUCGAAGCUGAGAGCAAUGUUCUUAUGACCGGGUAUCCAGUGCAAAAUAAAGUUGCUAGUGAAGG